rnacentral:rRNA from 1 species
AUUGAACGCUGGCGGCAGGCUUAACACAUGCAAGUCGAGCGGGGGCUUCGGCCCUAGCGGCGAACGGGUGAGGAAUGCCUGGGAAUCUGCCUGGUCGUGGGGGAUAACGAUCCGAAAGGAUCGCUAAUACCGCAUACGUCCUACGGGAGAAAGCAGGAGACCUUCGGGCCUUGCGCUAUCAGAUGAGCCCAGGUCGGAUUAGCUAGUAGGUGAGGUAAAGGCCCACCUAGGGGACGAUCCGUAGCUGGUCUGAGAGGAUGAUCAGCCACACUGGAACUGAGACACGGUCCAGACUCCUACGGGAGGCAGCAGUGGGGAAUAUUGGACAAUGGGCGAAAGCCUGAUCCAGCCAUGCCGCGUGUGUGAAGAAGGCCUUCGGGUUGUAAAGCACAUUAAGCGGGGAGGAAGUACUUGGGGCUAAUACCCCUGAGUGUUGACGUUACCCGCAGAAUAAGCACCGGCUAACUCUGUGCCAGCCGCCGCGGUAAGAC